GAGCCACAAAGCCAGAGAUUGUAGACAAAGAAAGUGAUACAGAUAUUAUUGAAAGGGCUCCACAAGAGCAAAUAAAUUAUGACCAUUUGAGUUCUGUUGAUGGAACACACAAAAAUAAUAGAAGUGAUGUGAUGUCAGCCUUAGGAUUGGGAGAAGAGGAAGAUAUAGAAUCACCUUGGGAUUCUGAGAAUAUCUCUGAGAGCCUUCCAUGAAAGUAUGUGGAUCUUUUAUCUGGAGCUGCUGGUCAAAGAGGAAAAAAUAUGGACAAGUGGAAGAUGUGUCUUAUAUACCUUCUUGCAUGAUUGGAUCCAGAAAUUUUAAGAUGGCUAAACUAGAGGAGCCAAGACAUGUAGGCAUACCAGUAGCCC